rnacentral:rRNA from 1 species
GACGAAGUCUGACGGAGCAACGCCGCGUGAGUGAUGAAGGUUUUCGGAUCGUAAAGCUCUGUUGUUAGGGAAGAACAAGUGCAAGAGUAACUGCUUGCACCUUGACGGUACCUAACCAGAAAGCCACGGCUAACUACGUGCCAGCAGCCGCGGUAAUACGUAGGUGGCAAGCGUUGUCCGGAAUUAUUGGGCGUAAAGGGCUCGCAGGCGGUUUCUUAAGUCUGAUGUGAAAGCCCCCGGCUCAACCGGGGAGGGUCAUUGGAAACUGGGAAACUUGAGUGCAGAAGAGGAGAGUGGAAUUCCACGUGUAGCGGUGAAAUGCGUAGAGAUGUGGAGGAACACCAGUGGCGAAGGCGACUCUCUGGUCUGUAACUGACGCUGAGGAGCGAAAGCGUGGGGAGCGAACAGGAUUAGAUACCCUGGUAGUCCACGCCGUAAACGAUGAGUGCUAAGUGUUAGGGGGUUUCCGCCCCUUAGUGCUGCAGCUAACGCAUUAAGCACUCCGCCUGGGGAGUACGGUCGCAAGACUGAAACUCAAAGGAAUUGACGGGGGCCCGCACAAGCGGUGGAGCAUGUGGUUUAAUUCGAAGCAACGCGAAGAACCUUACCAGGUCUUGACAUCCUCUGACAACCCUAGAGAUAGGGCUUUCCCUUCGGGGACAGAGUGACAGGUGGUGCAUGGUUGUCGUCAGCUCGUGUCGUGAGAUGUUGGGUUAAGUCCCGCAACGAGCGCAACCCUUGAUCUUAGUUGCCAGCAUUUAGUUGGGCACUCUAAGGUGACUGCCGGUGACAAACCGGAGGAAGGUGGGGAUGACGUCAAAUCAUCAUGCCCCUUAUGACCUGGGCUACACACGUGCUAC